rnacentral:rRNA from 1 species
UACGUAGGGGGCGAGCGUUGUCCGGAAUUAUUGGGCGUAAAGAGCGUGUAGGCGGUUCGGUAAGUCUGUCGUGAAAUCCUGGGGCUCAACCCUGGGCGUGCGAUGGAUACUGCCGGGCUAGAGGGUGGUAGAGGCGAGUGGAAUUCCCGGUGUAGCGGUGAAAUGCGCAGAUAUCGGGAGGAACACCAAUGGCGAAGGCAGCUCGCUGGGACGUUACUGACGCUGAGACGCGAAAGCGUGGGGAGCAAACAGG